AACGAACGCUGGCGGCGCGCCUAAUACAUGCAAGUCGAGCGAGAAGACGUAGCAAUACGUUUGUAAAGCGGCGAACGGGUGAGGAAUACAUGGGUAACCUACCCUCGAGUGGGGAAUAACUAGCCGAAAGGUUAGCUAAUACCGCGUACGCUCCUUGGACUUCGGUUCAGGGAGGAAAGCGAUACCGCGGGUAUCGCGCUCUUGGAUGGGCUCAUGUCCUAUCAGCUUGUUGGUGAGGAACGGCUCACCAAGGCUUCGACGGGUAGCUGGUCUGAGAGGACGAUCAGCCACACUGGCACUGCGACACGGGCCAGACUCCUACGGGAGGCAGCAGUAAGGAAUAUUGCGCAAUGGGCGAAAGCCUGACGCAGCGACGCCGCGUGGGGGA
rnacentral:rRNA from 1 species